GCGCUCGGUUGUGCCGUUAUCGUGCAAUGCUUCAUCCCCGGUGCCGUUCAAUCCCAGGUCGUUUUCCCUUUCAGCUGCAAUGCCGGGAUUUUAAAUAGCAGAGAUGAAAGGCCCCUGCCCCCGCCUCCCUCCUCCCCUGAGUUCAUGUAUUAUGAAUGAAACGGCAGCCUCGCUGCUUCCUGAGGUGCUCCACUUCAGGCUGGGGUGCAAUGGCUCGAUCUCGGCUCAGUGCAACCUCUGCUUCCCGGGUUCAAGUGAUUCUCCUGCGUCAGCCUCCCAAGCAGCUGUGAAUACAGGUUGGAGUGCAGUGGUGCUGUGUCUGGAGUUUGUUCCUGCCGUUGGGUUUGUGGUCUUGCUGACUUCAAGAAUGAAGCCACGGACCUUCACGAGAAAUAUUACGUUGUAUGGAUGUACCACUGUUUGUUUAUCCAUUCUUCAGGUGAAGGACAUGUGGGUUGUGCCCAGCGCGGGCUGA
rnacentral:lncRNA from 1 species